UACGUAGGGUGCAAGCGUUAAUCGGAAUUACUGGGCGUAAAGCGUGCGCAGGCGGUUGUGCAAGACAGAUGUGAAAUCCCCGGGCUUAACCUGGGAAUUGCAUUUGUGACUGCACGGCUAGAGUGUGUCAGAGGGGGUAGAAUUCCACGUGUGAGCAGUAGAAAUGCGUAGAUAUGUGGAGGAAUACCGAUGGCGAAGGCAGCCCCCUGGGAUAACACUGACGCUCAUGCACGAAAGCGUGGGGAGCAAACAGG
rnacentral:rRNA from 1 species